CCUCCUCCUCCUCGUAUCCUAUUUUAGUGUUCGUAUUACAUAUUUUGACACUUACAAAUCAACUGAAAUCAAUCCCUGUAAAAUUAUCUCGAAACUGCGUGAGAAUCAAGCAAUUACUGUGAUACUGAAUGAUAAAUUUGUAGUCUUUUGAACGGGAGUCAGUCAGUCAGGCGGUUGGUUAGUACCCUCCCGCCUCCCUCCCCCUACCUCUUCCCUCCCAACCGAUUCCUUCCUUCCUCUACUCUCCCUUCUUCCUUACUCCUCCUCCUACCACCCCCGCCAACCAGCAAGAACUCCUCUCUCCUCCCUGACCAAUCACAUCCCGCCGUAUUGGUGUUGUAGCCUAGUGGCCGCCACGUCGAGUUGUCUUGGUACGUUUCCUGCAUUUGUUGGUGAUAUUUGUGGCUCUUCGGAACCCCUUGGCCGUGCAGUGAUGAGGCGAGAUGAUACGUGAAACACCAAACGGAACAUCACCAGGCGCCACAGCACGCACCAGUGAGGUCUGAAGGGGUUACUGUGUCCUCGUGGGAGCAGCCAAGUCCCCCAAGUGUUGGAGGAGUUAAGGUGCGUUUGUUCAUCACUGAGGAAACACCACCACCACCACCACCACCACUAGAGGACACAUCACCAGUACCCGCGAUGGUGGUGAG